GAUGAACGCUGGCGGCGUGCCUAAUACAUGCAAGUCGAGCGAACGGACGAGAAGCUUGCUUUUCUGAUGUUAGCGGCGGACGGGUGAGUAACACGUGGAUAACCUACCUAUCAGACUGGGAUAACUUCGGGAAACCGGAUCUAAUACCCGAUAAUAUUUUGAACCUCAUUGUUCAAAAGUGAAAUACGGUCUUUCUGUCACUUAUAGAUGGAUCCGCGCUGCAUUAGCUAGUUGGUAAGGUAACGGCUUACCAAGGCAACGAUGCAUAGCCGACCUGAGAGGGUGAUCGGCCACACUGGAACGGGGACACGGUCCAGACUACUACGGGAGGCAGCAGUAGGGGAUCUUCCGCAAUGGGCGAAAGGCUGACGGAGCGACGCCGCGUGAGUGAUGAAGGUCUUCGGGUCGUGAAACUCUGGUAUUAGGGAGGAACAUAUGUGUAAGUAACUGGGGACGUCAUUGCGGGUACUAGGAAGAAAGGCACGGCUAAACACGGUC
rnacentral:rRNA from 1 species